AUAAACGUUGAAAUGAGGUUGAAAUGUGAUCAACGUAUAUUCAACGUUGAAACAACGUAACAUUUUCAACGUUGAGGAAUAAACUAACAUUCAACGUUGAAUUAACGUUGAUCAUUUCAACGUUGUUAUUGGAACGUUGAUUCAACAUUGAAUCAACGUUAACUUAUUUACUCAUAGUAGGCCUAUAUAAAAAAAAAUCAUUAUCAGAAGGCAAUAUAUGCAUAACUGUAGAAGUAUAUAUUUAUAAAGAAAAGAAUGAAAAAGAGUUUUGGGUUUCACAAGACAGUAUAGUACUAACUAUUGGUCACUAUUUCAACUUGAGUUUUGCGUCACCGUGACGGUAUGAGAAAAAGGGGGGAGGUAAGUCGUUUGGUACUAAAUUUCUAGGGAAUAAGAAAGAUUUAUUAAUUUCAUUUCACAUAACUUUAAUUUGAUCAUAAAGAUAACAUGUAAAGAAAUUUAAAAUAGUUGAUUAUCAACAAUGAUCGCGAUUUUUUUCAUUCAUAUUUUCGCGGGAUUUGAACAGGAAGUAAGAUUGCCCAUGCGCAUUAUUCAAACACGCACCUUUCCUGUAUUUGAAAAAGAACAACAAAGGACGAAGUCGAAAGAGAAACUUCCCGUUUAUCACGUAUAUUUAUGGAAUGUAGAUGUUUGCAUGUGGCUAUCACGGUUUGUUAUAUUUAUGAAUUGUGUUUAGAAACUCUGAAUUGGUAUCAUAUUGCACAAUUAGAGAAAAUUAUAACGUCAACAUUGUAUUCCAGAAAACAGAUAAGAACACAUGAAAGGGUCAUCAUAUAUAAUUUCCUCCAAUUAUACUAUUUCUAUUAUAAAGAGCAUUUAAUGUGGAAAGCAUAUUUAGUUUCAUUUCAAAGUUUAGGUAAAGAUUGUUACAAUUAUUAUGCUUAAAGAUUGAUAUUAGAAAAAGGGGGGAUAAGCAAGUGUUUACAUUAUUUUGCUCAGGUAAAUUUCCCAACAUGUGUACUUUAUACUAUAUAUAUGCGAUUCUUUUUGUUUAACUUUAAGGCUUGGUAAACCACAUACUUUUUGACGAUCAUAUUAAACAAUGAAUUUCAACUGGACAACAAAGUAUUGAAUUUGAACGAUCAUGGAAAAUUGAUACUUUUAUUGUUUUAUUUUGACAAAAAAAAGUCAGUCUGAGCCUUUACUGAUCUUCAGGUGAUCUCUAACUCUGUGUAAUAUGAGAAAUGCAUGUUUACAUUAAUGUGUACGUAACCUGGUUUUGAAUGUUAUAGCAGUCCAUUAUCUGAUAUCAUGAACAUGUAUUAUUUAUUUUACAGAAGCUUGUCAAACAGAUCAAUGGCUAAAAGGCAUCAAGUGGAUCAAAAUUAAAAUUCAGUUUUGGGAAUUCCAGUCUUUAAAAUCAUCAAAGAGUUUAAAUAUACUGCAAGAGUAAAAAGAUGUCACUUGGAAAUACAUAUCUGAUAAAGACCUCUCCUGCUUAAAAUUUACUGCUGAAAGAUCCCGAGGUGGUGGAAGAAUGAGGACAUGCAAUAAGGACAAAAAGAGACAAAUAUAACAAAUGAAUUUAUAAAAUAAAUCUUGUAUCAAAAGAAA